CGCCAAGUUGCCUCUAUUUUUGUUUUCCCAUUGUCUACCAAAACAUAAACAUGUUUUGACUAUGUGGAGCUUGGGAAGGUCAAGUUCAAUCUCAUUCAGCCCCCCUUUCUAUCGUGGAUGCAAUAAAAAAAGUAGAACGUACACAUGUAUGUCAUCCAAAAUGGACCCUGCAACCUUCUCCUCCUCACUAUUCUCAUGAUCCAGGUCUUUCCACAUAGGCUUUGUCUACAUAGGCAUUGUUUACAUAGGCAUUGUCUACAAAAUUCCAUUUUGGCCCACUGGAUCUUGGACAAUGAGGCAUCACAAAAAAUAUGGAGAUUUUCCAUAGUGUUCUCUAUAGAAUCAAAAAAAAUCUAGAAGAAUUCCAUAGUGUUCUUCAUAAAAGUCCGGUCCUUAUGAAUAUUAAGAAAGAGUUGUAUGUAAAAUGUUGACUAACCAACUAUCCAGCUCCAUGUUCUGGGAGGGGAAUGCCUUUGAUAAGAUCUUUCCCAAUCCCAUGAUAAAUGAGAUAAUCUAGGGCCUUUACUAUCAUUUUAAAAAACAAUUUUGUUGGAUGGACCUUAAGUGUCCCAUAUCCUAUGAUUCACACUUGUUGAUAGGUAGGAAGACUGAGGGUUUGUAGAGUGUCUCAGAAGCGUAGAGGAAAAAUUUCUUGAAGUCCAUGGCCUUGAUCAUGCCUAUAUUUGAGGGUCAUUCGAUCAUGUCAUAAGAUUUACCAAAAAUCAAUCUCAAUGAACAGGGUGUUGAAAUCAAGGAAACAUUUGAGGGAAUUCCAUAACAUUUUCCCCUUCAAGCAAUAUCACAGAAAACAUGCACUCCUUUUCCUCCUUUGCAUCAAUCAUGUGAAAAUCCCUAUAAACUAACGAAUGGAUUUCCAAUUAUUUGUCAAUAAUCCAUUUCUAUAAAAGGGCACAUUCAUCAUUAGACACAUAGAAGUUGGAUAAACCCAAAAACCUUACAUCCAGAGUCAACAAAAUUGAAACCCAUUUUUGAGAGUUGUUGGUGCCUCACCCUCUAACUGACGACAAUGUUAGGAAAUCUGGAGACAUCAUCGAGGGCCCCAGGAAGAGUUAUCUUUUCUUUUUAACAGCUUUCCCACCCUGAAAUCAUCUCAACCCGAGAUAGGGUCCAACAGUUGGAAGAGCAUCGCACGUCUUGCGGUGUCCUUUGCACCCUCAACGGCCCUUGAAAAUCUGGAGGGCCGAGUACCGUCCAUGCCCAGUUGUACUCAUAACCGCAUCAGGUCUCCAAGGUGAAAAAACCUCGGUCAAUAGAACAAUGUAGGUAAGGGAAGUUAGAAAAAUGGAUCCAUAACUUUGGGAAAAUGAUUGGCUCUGAGGGUUGGGCCUAGGGGUCUGCGUCCUCAACCCGUGGGCUAUCGACAGUCUGCCCAAGUUGUUAUCCCGGUGAGGGAAGGUAGUCUCAUGUUGAUUGGGAUACAAACAUAGUAUGUCCCCUCACAGGGGAUUUUCCCUAAGUGGCUAAAAGUCAACUCAUAACUGGUACGGACAAGGGGAAUCCGACUAUUUAAUUAAAACAAAGCAUUGUGAUGGUCCCUGCGGAUGUUGACGCAAUGUGAUUUCUGCCCAGUGCUCUAUGCAUUGAUUUCACCCUUAAGGAAAAUAUUUCAUUAUGGACUUUGAUUAAUUCUAUGCAUUGAUCUUGAAUCAAUGAAUCAAUCCAAGAAUUCUUAAUAACCAAAUCACUAAUCCAUAAUUUUAUCUCAUUUUUAGAGAAGCUGGU
rfam:Picea glauca, whole genome shotgun sequence.